GAAAUGCGAUAAGUAAUGUGAAUUGCAGAAUUCAGUGAAUCAUCGAAUCUUUGAACGCACAUUGCGCCCGCUAGUAUUCUGGCGGGCAUGCCUGUUCGAGCGUCAUUUCAACCAUCAAGCCCCCGGCUUGUGUUGGGGUCCUGCGGCCGUCCGCAGCCCCCGAAAUGCAGUGGCGGUCUCGUUGUCACACCGAGUGCAGUAAUUUUUAUUCACUGGGGCGUGGCGGCGGGUUCCAGCCGUGAAACAACCAAACUUAUCAAGGUUGACCUCGGAUCAGGUAGGAAUACCCGCUGAACUUAA
rnacentral:misc_RNA from 1 species